rnacentral:rRNA from 1 species
AGUGAACGCUGGCGGCGUGCCUAAUACAUGCAAGUCGAACGCGAAAGUCCUUCGGGAUGAGUAAAGUGGCGCACGGGUGAGUAAUACAUGAGAACAUGCCCUUAGAUGGGGAAUAACGUUUGGAAACGAACGCUAAUACCGCAUAAUCUCGAGAGAGUAAAGGUGGCGCCGCAAGGGCUACCGUCUAAGGAUUGGCUCAUGUCCCAUUAGCUAGUUGGCGGGGUAAUGGCCCACCAAGGCAACGAUGGGUAUGUGGUCUGAGAGGAUGAUCACACACACUGGAACUGAGACACGGUCCAGAAUCCUACGGGAGGCAGCAGUAGGGAAUAUUGCACAAUGGGGGAAACCCUGAUGCAGCAACGCCGCGUGAGUGAAGAAGGCCCUUGGGUCGUAAAGCUCUUUAGCGAGGGAAGAGGGUAGAUACGGUGAAUAAUCGUGUUUGCUGACGGUACCUCGAGAAUAAGCACCGGCUAAUUUCGUGCCAGCAGCCGCAGUAA